GUCCCACUUGGCAGAAAUCGCAUGAGAGGGGGGAAAUUUCUUCAUUCUCGCUACCCCUGACCCUCACUUUCGAGCGAUCGUACGACAAACUCUCACUCCACCACCCUACCUCACUCACACACGCUCCCAUAUUCUAUGUAAACCCUCACCGCAACCUGCGUCACCAACCCACCCCACACCUGAACGGUCCCAUACUCGAAGUGUUAGACAAUUUUGGUUCCACACUUUGUAGCCUGUCGAGGAGUGUGGCACUAUAUUGUUUUCGCUGUCUCCUUUCUUUCACUGCAAAAUUGCUUUUGCCCUGUCUUUGGCGUAUUCAUAUGAGUUUGGCCUUUGCUGGAGGCGGAGGUGUGUGCGCAAGCGUUAUCGUGUUUUGUGAAGUGAUUCUUUGCUCCGGUAAGUAAUGUGAAAACUAGUGAUUGUGAUUAGUGAAUUAAUUCUAAUCCAUGUGUUUUGUGCGUAGUGAAUCCCAUCGAGUCGAUCAGCUGAUGGAAAGAGUUUGGCCGUGAAGCGGAAAGGGUGAAGCCGGAGUUAAACCGCAGGAUGGCAGGACAAAUCACAUCGGAGAGAGUGCUGAAUACUCGCCGUCUUGAGAGAAACCUCUGCCGAACAUAGGCACCCCAUCCCACCGUCCGCUUCGCAGAACGCCGGCAGUUUUUUUUACCUGUUCGUCCAGCGACCGCUUGCGCAUGAUGAGCGUAGGUGCAAUAAAAAAAGGGAUCGUAUGUAUUUCCUGGUAA